UGGGGAAUAUUGGACAAUGGGCGAAAGCCUGAUCCAGCCAUGCCGCGUGUGUGAAGAAGGUCUUCGGAUUGUAAAGCACUUUUAUCAGGAGCGAAAUACUAUCGGUUAAUAACCGGUGGGGCUGACGGUACCUGAGGAAUAAGCACCGGCUAACUUCGUGCCAGCAGCCGCGGUAAUACGAAGGGUGCAAGCGUUAAUCGGAAUUACUGGGCGUAAAGGGUGCGUAGGCGGUUAGUUAAGUCUGUUGUGAAAUCCCCGGGCUCAACCUGGGAAUGGCAAUGGAUACUGGCUAGCUAGAGUGUGUCAGAGGAUGGUGGAAUUCCCGGUGUAGCGGUGAAAUGCGUAGAGAUCGGGAGGAACAUCAGUGGCGAAGGCGGCCAUCUGGGACAACACUGACGCUGAAGCACGAAAGCGUGGGGAGCAAACA
rnacentral:rRNA from 1 species